rnacentral:rRNA from 1 species
UACGAAGGGGGCUAGCGUUGCUCGGAAUCACUGGGCGUAAAGCGCACGUAGGCGGACUUUUAAGUCAGGGGUGAAAUCCUGGAGCUCAACUCCAGAACUGCCUUUGAUACUGGAAGUCUUGAGUUCGGGAGAGGUGAGUGGAACUGCGAGUGUAGAGGUGAAAUUCGUAGAUAUUCGCAAGAACACCAGUGGCGAAGGCGGCUCACUGGCUCGAUACUGACGCUGAGGUGCGAAAGCGUGGGGAGCAAACAGG